UUUGAGAAUUUGAUCCUGGUUCAGGAUGAACGCUGGAAGUGUACCUUAAGCAUGCAAGUCGAGCGGUGAAUCUCGAGCUCGCAAGAGUUCGAGAGGAGCAGCGGCAGACGGGUGAGAAAAGACAGGAAUCUACCCUUUUGUGGGGAAUAGCCCGCCGAAAGGCGGGGUAAUACCGCAUAAGUUCGUAAGAAGAAAGGCCUUAACCGGCCGCAGAUGGAUGAGCCUGUUCGCUAUCAGCUAGUUGGUAGGGUAAAAGCCUACCAAGGCUACGACGGCUAGGGGGUGUGAGAGCAUGACCCCCCACAAGGUAACUGAGAUACGGUGCCUACACCUACGGGUGGCAGCAACUGGGAAUUUUGCACAAUGGACGAAAGUCUGAUGCAGUGACACUUCGUGUGGGAUGAAGGCCCUCGGGUCGUAAACCACUGUGAUAGGAGAAAACUAAAGAUGGUACCCUAUUAGAAAGCACCUGCUAACCACGUGCCAGAAGCCUCGGUAAUACGUGGGGUGCAAGCGUUAUCCGGAUUUAUUGGGCGUAAAGAGUAUCGUAGGCGGUUUGUUAAGUAUCGGGUUAAAGCCUGGGGCUCAACUCCAGAGAUGCUCGAUAAACUGGCAGACUAGCGGUUGUUCGGAGAUGUCGGAAUUCUUGGUGGAGGAGUGAAAUCCGUUGAUAUCAAGAAGAACACCAAAAGCGAAGGCAGGCAUCUAGGAUAUACCGUAAGCUAACGCGUUAAGUGUUCCGCCUGGGGAGUACGGCCGCAAGGCUAAAACUCAAAGGAAUUGACGGGGAAACGCACAAUCAGCGUGCCAUGUGGUUUAAUUGGAUACGAAACCUUGAACCUUACCUGGGUUUGACAUGUACCUGCAAAUCUCUGGAAACAGAGACGCCUUCGAGGGUGGUACACAGCUGCUGCAUGGUUGUCGUCAGUUCGUGUCGUGAGGCGUCUAUUUAAGUAUAGUAACGAACGCAACCCCUGUGCUAUGUUAAAUAUCCAUAGCAGACUGCCACGGUUUUUUCCGUGGAGGAAGGAGGGGAUGACGUCAAAUCAUCAUGGCGCUUAUAUCCAGGGCUACACACAUGGCGUAAUGGAUGAGACAACGGGGUGCGAAGCCGCGAGGCGGAGCAAAUCCUAAUAAACUCAUCCUCAGUUCGGAUCGCAGGCUGCAAUUCGCCUGCGUGAAGGGGAGUUGAUAGUAAUCGCAGAUCAGCAACACUGCGGUGAAUACGUUCUCGUUUCUUGUACACACUGCCCGUCAAGUCAACAAAGUCAGUAGUGCCCGAAGUAGGUACCCAUAACCGCAAGGAUUGGGCCUCCUAAGGUAAGACUGGCGAUGGGGGCUAAGUCGUAAACUUAUUGCGACCAUAGAGAGUAAUUUCUAUGAAAAUGUAUCGGUGAAGCCUAAACAUUCGGUAUACUUUCGGGUAUACUGGAGAUAUGGUAAUACCGAGGGAACCUGUUUCUGAGACAUCAGAGAUAGGACUCCGUAGAGACUACACGCGAGCGCCGCAAAUAUCGAAAGCUUAUAUAGUUGGUAUCCUUCAUGAUGCUACCAAAAGAAAGACUACUUUCAGGGUUUCACAAAAAUCCUCUAAGUUUGUCGAAAUGGUGGCUAAUGGAAUUAGAAGUUUGGGCGGAAACGCCUGGACUUAUAAAGAAGGAAGUAAUCGAAGUGUAUAUAUCGUUGAAUUUUCAAAAUCUUUUCUAAAAGAAUUUGAGAUUGUUUCCGAAAGGGACAAAAUUGAUUAUAUUCGAGGUUAUUUUGAUGCCGAUGGAGGGGUGGCAAAGAGCAGCAAAGUUAGAUUUUAUAUCUACUUUGCCCAGAAGGAUUAUUCUGAUCUCGAACAAGUAAGAAAUUAUUUGAAAGAGAUUCGCAUAGAUUGUGGAGUAAUCCAUAAUCCAAGCAAAAGGAUUGAUCCGUAUUAUUGGAGAUUUUUUGUAAAAGCAAAAUCUUAUGUAGAUUUUGUACAGAAAAUUGGUUCUUUGCAUCCGGAAAAAGCAAAAUAUUUGUGGAUGAAGAUAUAGUCCAUGCCACUAGAAAUACGUGGAAUUUCAUGAACAAGGUAUCCGUACUGGAAGGUGCGGAUGGAUCACCUCCUU
rnacentral:rRNA from 1 species